rnacentral:rRNA from 1 species
GACGAACGCUGGCGGCGUGCCUAACACAUGCAAGUCGAGCGGGGACAUUUAGCAAUAGAUGUUCCAGCGGCGGACGGGUGAGUAACGCGUGAGCAAUCUGUCCCAGACAGGGGGAUAACAGAUGGAAACAUCUGCUAAUACCGCAUAAGACCACGAGGUCACAUGAUCUUGAGGUAAAAGGAGAAAUCCAGUUUGGGGUGAGCUCGCGUCCGAUUAGCUAGUUGGUGAGGUAACGGCUCACCAAGGCGACGAUCUCUAGCUGGUCUGAGAGGAUGACCAGCCACACUGGAACUGAGACACGGUCCAGACUCCUACGGGAGGCAGCAGUGGGGAAUAUUGCACAAUGGGGGAAACCCUGAUGCAGCCAUGCCGCGUGUGUGAAGAAGGCCUUCGGGUUGUAAAGCACUUUCAGCGAGGAGGAAAGGGUGACAGCUAACACCUGUCAUCUGUGACGUUACUCGCAGAAGAAGCACCGGCUAACUCCGUGCCAGCAGCCGCAGUAACAC